AAAUAAAGAAAGUAAGCAUAAAGCUUAGUAAGUUUACAAGUAAAUAAAUAACAACAUUUAUCAUUAACAAUUAUACUCAUAAAUUUUCAUUAAGCAUUAGGAUCUUUACUUUCUUCUUUACUUACUCUCUUACUUGUUUACUUACUUGCUUAAACAACUCAUGGUUAUAACUUACUCCCUCCUUGCUGAAAUUUCUUUCUCAACUAAUAACUGAGAUACUCUUAAUCUUUAUAACUCACCUAAACUUGUCUAUUAUGCUUUUACCUGAACUUUCAUGUAACAUCGUCUAUUUACUAGCCCGUUGAAUCACUUAGAAUACUGAGUAUACUCAGGUCUCUUGUCUGAAUUUAACAUGCCAAAGCUAUGUCCCAGACAUAGUCUUACAUGGGAUGUUUCUUGUACUGCCAAUGUCAUAUCCUAGAAAUGGUCUUACAUGGGUUCUCAUAUCGGUGCCCAUGCCAUGUCCCAGACAUGGUCUUAUGGGGGACCUCUCAUCUCGGUGCCAACGCAAUGUCCCAGACAUGGUCUUACAUGGGACCUCUCAUAAUCUUAAUGAUGGCAAUGCCAUGUCCCAAACAUGAUCUUACAUGGGAUCUCAUCCUCUUAAUGUCAUGACAUUUAUAUCCGGUACAUUCCUCAUGUUUCAACGGGGCUUUUUAACACUGAUUCUCUGUCAUCUCAUACUUGAGUCAACAUUAAAUAAUUUCAUGAAAUAAAUACAUAAUUGCUGGAAAAUAACAACAUUAAUAAUAAUUAUUGAAAUAUUGCAUUUAUUUACCGUAAACUUACCUCGGUACAAAAUACGAUCAAAUCUAGCAACUUAGUCCUCAAUCUUUUUCUUUCCCCAGUCUAACUCCGAAUUUCGUUCCUCUUUAUCUAUAAUAGAAAAUUUAGCUUAUUUAAUACUCACAUUCAUCAAAACAGUCCUUGACUCGAACUUUGGUAAAAUUACAUUUUUGCUCCUAAACUUUUACAUAUUUCAACUUUUGUCCCAAACCUCGGAAAUUAAACUUCAUCCCUUAUUCUUAUGUUUUAUGACAUGCUGAACAUUUUUCCCUUCUAUGGCAACAUCAAAUUCCCAUUCUAACACUUAUGAACAUUAGGUAUUUUUACCAAUUAUAUCAUUUUACUCGUUUUCACUUAAAAUCGCCUAGCAAAAGUUAUUUAACAUAAUUUCAAGCUUCAUAUUCUACCAUAAGACAUCAAAAUAAACACAUUUCACCUAUGGGUAUUUUUUCAAAUAUAAACCCUAACAUAAAUUAAUGGUAAAAUAAGAUAAACCGAGCUACGAGAACUCCAAAAAUGUAAAAAUCAUUAAAAACGGGGCUUGGAUGCACUUACUAUGAACUUGAGAAAGUGAAGAAACCCUAGCUAUGGUGUCUCUUGAUUUUCGGCCAAGCAUGAAGAAGAUGAGCACAUUUUUGUCAUCUUUUUCCCUUUUUAUUUCUUUUUAUUACAAUAAACUUUUCCAUCUCAGAUUCGCGGUUUUGCAACCACUGUUCCAUUUAGGCUCUAUUUCGGGAUGUUAAAUUUUGUGAUACAUGCACAAAUGGGGUGAAAUUUAUUAGAUUCCAAUCACUAAAACUACCAAUUUUCAAGCUUGGAAAUCAGCAGACUUGUGACGACUUUUUGGAUGGGAUCCUGACAUUUUUGGGUUGAGAUGUCUCAUGGCGUUUGAAGGUCUACUCUUAGCUUUGAAAUGCAUUUUGAAUCACUCGAUUUUGAGUUCUGGAGCUCAAGUUAUGACCGUUUUAGUGAAGACUGCGCAAACAUAAUUUCUGAACGGGAUUAUGACGGGAAUUACGAAUUUCGGGCUUUUAAUUCGAGUUUAAACCAUAUUAGGUUUGGGUUUUAGAUUUAAUUUUUAUUAUAUAUAAGUUCAAUAUUAUAUUUUUCAGAUCUUACUAUUUUAUUAUUAUUUUAUUAUGAAUUUUUUAUAAUUAUUAAGUAUUUUAAGUUAUUUAGGAGUUUUAUGUUAACAAGAAAAUUCAGUUUAAAAUUACUUCUUGUUUAGAUUAAAUUAGAGUUCUAGUAUACUUAAGAGUUUUAUUUAGAUUUAUUUAGCUAGCUUAUAUAUAGACAUUUACAUUGUAAACAAUUCAUUCAAUUUAUUAUUAUUCUAUUUCUCUUUUGAGUUAAUAAAUUCUCUCUCGGUUUUUCUUUUUAAGAAUUUUUCUUGAGUUUCUUUUAGAAGAGUUUUAAUAAUAUUUUUAGAUUGUGGGGAUCAUCUUCAAAUUUUUUUCUUGCCAAGGUUUCUAUAUUGGAAGGGAAAUUAGAGCCGCUUGAAAGGGGUUGUGGAUUCUUUGUGUUUUUCAAGGCUUCUUAGGACUUUCACAUGUCACGUUCAAUCUUUCCAUUUAUCUUCUUUAUUCGCUUCCUUUUAUUUAUUAUUAUUUUUUAGUUUUUUUUAUCUAACUUGGAUUUUAUUUCAUUUCAGAUUUUGUCAAAAUCUAAAUUUCUUUCUGAACAUCUAGAGUUUUAAGUCAAAUCUGCGACACUGACAAACUUUACGAUUUGCUUUCGAGUUUAUCCAACUCAUCUUUUAUCAUUUUGGAUUUUGCAGCUGAAAAUCUCUAAAAAAAAAAGGUAAGAAUAACUUAAUAUAACACUGUUAUUUAAAAAAUAAUUAAAUAAAAAAAAACAGAGACAGAUAUAUGAUUAUUACAUGAUAAUGUAGCUUGGAUUAUACGCCAAAAAACCCUAAUAAGAAAGAACAAAGAUAUAAGCAAAAGAGAAGAUCAAUUCACCUUCAUUUUUUUUUCAUUUUUGUAGUAUUUUUUUGUAGCACUUGCUUGUAAUAAAUUGGAAUAUUUAACCACUUAUUGCCACUGCAGCAUCAUCAGGAUUCUCAAUCAUAAAAGGGCUUAUUGAUUGAUCAAUCAAUCAAAAAAGACCCUAAAACGCCUCUUGUGAAUCUUGAUAAUGCUGCAGCAGCAAACAGUGACUGUUAUACCAUCAUCAUCAUCAUACCAUCCCAUGCAAAAGUAAAAAAGAGCUAAAAAACCCUAACCGGAAAAGUAGAAGGAAAAAAAAGGACGACCCAAUGUCUGAAUAUGUGAAACAAGGACGACCCAAAAGAAAGCUUCAAAAAAGAAGUGAAGAACAUGAAGCAAAGCUUAUAAAAACAAAAACCCAAAGCUAAAGAGAGAAAUAGAAAAAGAAUGGAACUUUCUUUGAAGACCUUUGGUGUGAGUUGAAGAGAGGGUUAAAGGGGGGGAGGGGGUAUAUAUAGAGGGUGGAAGAGGGGCAAUGAAUGGAGUUCAAGGUUUGGUUGGUAGCUUUGUGUGCGCGUGUGUGUGUCUGUGUGAGAGAGUUAAAACCUGUAACUCUUCCGUACCAAAUUAAAAGGGGUUAAAUUUGGUAACUAUUUUCAUAUUUAGGGCCUUGAACGAGACAAUGAUUCUCAUAUUGAGGUAUAUAUGAACUUUUUUUACCUUAAUUAUUUUUUGAUAUUUCCUUGAAAAUAUUAAAGUUCAGGUUUAAUGCGACAAUUGCCAAGUUUAUGGAUUAACUUGGACAAAGAAAAUGUUCAAAUCCUAAUGUGAGAAUAAAUAAUUAGUUUAAGUCUCAAUGUAAGAAUAAUUAAAUUUAAGAUCUGAUCUAAAAAAAUUUUCAAACUCUAAUAUAAAAAAUAAUUACUAAAUUUAGACCUAAAUAAUGAUUAACGCAAUUAAAAAACAAUCCUUAGCCAAUCCGAAAAUUGAGGAAAAAAUUGGGAAAAAAAUGAACAGAAAAUUUAUACCAGUUAUGGUGAUGGCUGGACUGUACAGGUGUUGCGUAUUCUACAAGCAAUUUUCUUUUGAUGAAUUGGGAGGUGGCUUGGAAUUGACAAGGGCCUGAGCUUGUACCUUAGCCGAAAUUAUAAUACGACGCCGAAUGCAGCUAUUAUUAAACACUGUAAAUAGUAUUCGGAUUUUAAUUUGGAGAUUUUUACUCUUUAUAUUUUUAGAAUUUGAAAUUUUUAAUUUUAAUUUUAAUUAAAUGAUAAUUAUUAAAUUCAUUAAGUUUUGUUUUUGUUAUUUUAAAAAUUUGAUGUGUCAAACAUAAUAUUAUGCCAGUUUGUUAUUUUCUAAUAUUACUGAUAAAAAAAUAAUUAAUAGAUUUAACGAUUGUCAUUUGCAUUAAGAUUAAAAUUUCAAAAUUCAAAAAAUAUAACCACUAAGAAUGAUCCAAUUGGCGAAUAUAGAUUAAAUCUAUAACUUUACGCAUGUCACAAGACUAAUAACAUAAUUUAACCAAACAGAUUUAAAUGUUACGAUUGAGUCAAGAUUAAAAUUUUAAAAUUCAAACAACAUAGGAAUUAAAAUUGAACAAAUUAAACUACAGAAUCAAAUUUAUAAUUUUAGACAGAGUACAGGGUCUAAUAAUAGAAUUUGACCAUUAUAAUAUUAUAUAUAUAUAUAGUUUGGCUAGCAAUUUUAGCUAGGGAAUUGUCUUCCAGAAACAACCACAUUUCUCAUUGAUAUAGGUGAAUUCUCAUGAAGAGCAUUAUGCUCAUACCCCACUUGAAAAUCAAGACAUGAGAAUCAUUAAGAGUAAAACUCAUCAUUAUUUCUUUACACUUAAUAUUUUGUUUUUCACCAUAGGAAUAGGUAGGAAAUUAUAAUUUUCAAGUGCUACUAAAAAGUGCAAUACAAUUUAGCUUUUCCUUUUAACUUAGACAUUGGGAUAUCCAAUCAAUUAGGCAAGGCUACCAUCAUAACACUUUUUUUUUUCUUUUAAAGGUUUUAGGCCCAUUCCCCUAGAUGAAUUAUACACAAGCUAUCUUGCUUAAGAAUUUCUCUCAUACCCCUAACUCUCUUAGGAUAUUUAGUUCUUGAUAUCAUCUCUCUUGGAAUAUCAACUUGUUCCUGGUUUAUUUGUUAGAUCCCAAGAGCUAUAAAUACAGAUGUUAGACUUUCUCACUGAGCUUAUACCUGGUAGUAUGGAAAGAAAAUUGAAAAGAUGGAAAAUUGAAAGGAUAGAAAAACUGAAAGAUAGAAGUUACAAUUCUUUCAUAGGCCUGAUCUGAUCGGUAGGAAAGAUGAAAAAUUGAAUAGAAAAAUUUAUAUCUUCCCGUUCAUUACUUGGUAGAGUUGAAAAUUGAGAGGAAAGAAAGCAGAACUUAUGAAAACUCAUAAUUUUGAACUAACAUGCAUCUAUCUUGGUGCAUAUUAGGAUAGAAAGUGAUUUUUGUUUCCACUCGCUUUUCUUUACUAAGCACAUUUUAUAUUUUCUUUCCACAUUUCCAAUCCCCUAUUUCAUCUUCCACUUUUUUCACUCAACCAAGCACACCCUACAGCUAGUUCUAAGUGGGCUAAUGAUAUGUUAAAUAUUUUUUUUACGAAGUUUGUUUUACUGGCUUUAUUUUAUCUUGGUGUCUAUUGUUUUUUUUCCAAUUUGUUAGGUUUCUGGCAUCUCUUUGGACACAAUUGUUGGUUUUUGUUGUACUCCUAAUUAGGGUGAGCAAAAUUCGAUUUGAUUUGAAAAACUCAAUAAAAAAAUUAAAAUUUUAAUUAAAUAGUUCUAAUUAUUUGAGUUAAUCAAGUUAUCCGGAUCAGCUCGAAUAAAAAAUUAAAAUUUUCGAUUUAACUCGAAUAUGAAUUACACAAUUCGAGUUAUCCGAAAAUCCGAAUAAGAAAAUGCAAAACUACCUCGUUUUAAUAAAUGUUUACCUUUUCUAAAAUUAAAAGUCAAAACUAAUAAGUUAAAAGGUAAAACUACGUCGCCUUGAUAAAUAUUUACUCAUUAAGUUAAAAGCAAAACCAUUGUAUUGUUAUGUAGUUAAACAAUAUUGUAAUUCGUCUACUAAUUAAAUAAUUGAUCCAUUAAACGCAACUUUAAUGGCUAUAAAUAAUAGGAUUCGUUAACUCGACUCGAAUUUUUUUUACUUCAUUCGAUUCGGUUAAAAAAGAUUAAAUUGAGUCCGGUUGCUAAAAUAGGAUUUGUCAACUCGACCAACUUGAAAUUUUUUGACUUGAAUCGAUUGAAUACUCACUCAUACUCCUAAUCCUUUGCUUUAAUGAUAUCUAUAUAUGUACCUCUUAAAAAAAGAGAAGGUUAAAAUAUACUAUUAGUCCCUAUACUUUUACAAAAUUUAAAAUUUAACCCUUAUACUUUAAAAAUUAAAAAUCCAAUAUUUCUCUUACUUUUUCAGUUUAAAAAUCUUUUCAACUUAACAUUUUUAUUUCUCUAUCAAUCGUCCAAUGAGGGCAGCAAAUUUUGACAGACGAAAAAACAAACAAUGGCAAAUAAUAAAGUUCUCAAAAUUUGUCAAAAAAUGACGAUUGAUAGAGAAAUAAAAGUGUUAAUGAAAAACGUUUUCAAUGGGGCAGAGCAUGUAAUGGAAUCAUGUUUUUUUCAGAUAGUGUGUCCGCCAUGCAUUGAGAGGCUGCUUGUUCAUCAACGACUGAGACCAGAGACGUGGAAAACUAGGUUAUUUUCAAUGGCGAAACUGCUUUUAUCUUAAUUACUUUCAUACAAAAUGUCAAUAUUCCACGUAUGUCAUCUUCAUACAACGUUGCCUGUUUGAUUGUAAAGUUAAAAUCGUCUUUUCUUACACAGAUGUCAUUUACUGGGCAUUUGUUGGGUUUAGGCUCUCUUUUUUAUACAUAAUGUGAAACAAGAGAAUUCUUAACAUAAAAGAUGAAAACCUUUAUGUAGAAAUAUGAAAAAAUUACAUAUAAAAUACAUUGAAAAGAACUGAAAAUAUUCCCAUAAAAAAGCUAAAAAAAUUACAUCAAUAAACAAAGAAAGGGAAAAAAUUAAUGUACAACAUUGUUAACAAAAUGAUUAUAAAUUGCUGAUGACAAAAAACCAAGAUGAUUACAUAAGAGAUUUGCUAUAUAUAUUCCCUGCAGAGCAUCAUCAGUCAAAAUUAAAAAAUAUACAUAUAAAUUAUACAAACACAAAAUGGAAAUUAAUGAGUUUUUUUUUUGCAGCUGAAAACCUCUAACAAAAAGGGUCAGAAUAACAUAAUCUAAAACUGAAAUUUAAAAAAAAAAAACUAAGAUAGAUAUAUGAUUAUUACAGUAUAUUACAGCUUGGAUUUUAUAGCAAAACCCUAAUAAUAUUAUCAAAUAUUAAACAUUUUUGUAAGGUUAUUAGCAUUAAAUGUAUUCAUCAAAAACAACAACGAUACAAGCAAAAGAGAGGAUUAAUUCACCUUCAUUAUUUUCACUUUUUUAUUUUGGUAGUUUUUUGGUGGUAGCAUUUGCUUGUAAAUUGGAAUAUUUAGCCACUUAUUGCCACUGCAGCAUCAUCAGGAUUCUCAAUCAUAAAAAGGCUGAUUGAUCAAAUCAAUCAAAAAAGAACCCUAAAAUUGUGAAUCUUGAUGAUGCUCCAACAGCAAACAGUGACUGUCGUACAAUCAUCCUCACCACCAUCACCAUAGCAACCCAUGCAAAAUAAAACCCUAACCCUAUCCCAAAAAAGUUGAAACCCAAAAAAGAAGUGAAGAAGAUGAAGCAAAGCUUAUAAAAACAAAAACCCAAAGCUAAAGUAAAGAAAAGAAUGGUAACAUUGAAGACCAUUGGUGUGUGUUGAAGAGAAUUAAAGGGGGGUAUAUAUAGAGAGUGGAAGAGGGGGAAAUGAAUGGAAUUUUAAGGUUGGGUUGCUGGCUUUGUGUGUGAGAGAGAGUUAGAACAUGUAAAUUAAAAAAUAAUCCUUAGCCAAUCCGAAAUUUGAGGAUAAAAUUGAAAAAUAAUAAAAUGAACACAAAUUUUAUACCAGAUAUGGUGAUGGCUGGAUUGUAUAGAUGUUGCGUAUUCUACAAGUAUAUUUCUUUUGAUGGAUUAGGAAGUGGCUUGGAAUUGACAAGGGCCUGAGCUUGGACCCUAGCCAAAAUUAUAUCAUAUUCAUAUAUGGUUUGGCUAACCAUAUUAGCUAGGGAUAUCUGCAAAGGUUCUUUCCUUUUUGAUUUGGACACUUACAUUGCCCAUUUUUUAUUCUUUAUUUUGCAGAGUUUUAUUUGUUUUAUACCCUUUAAUGGCAUUUUUAGGUCUUCAGUUUCCAUGUAUUAGCUUCUUUAUAUAUAUAUUUAUUUAUUUAUUUCUCAUUUAAAUCUCUGCUUUUUGACUGGUUGAAUUGAAUCAAAGAGUUAUAGGGACCCUUAUCAAUAAAUUACUCUUCUUUUUUUUUAUGUUGUUUCUUUCAUGGCUUUGAAAAUGGAGAUAAUUUCUAGAUAAGUAUGUAAUAAUUAAUUAGCAUUUUGAUUUUUUUUUCUUCCUAUUUACUUGCAUUUUCUAGUGAGAUUUUAAUAUUGUAACUUAUCUUCUUCUUCUUCUUUUUUUACAUAAAGUCUAAAAUUACCCAUAAUCUCUCUCCAACCUAUAAAUAGAAAGAUAAUGUGCUUUAACGAACUCGAACCCACGGUUCGCACAUAGCAGACAUACACACGAACACAAUUCGCACUUGACAAACUUACAUGCGAACACAGUUCACCAAAACACAGUUUACUUACUGGGAUGGCGAACAGCAGAAGGAUGCUCUGAGGCGUAAUCAUGGAAAAGAUACAGCUAAACCAAGGCGAUGUUGUUCUCAGUCCUACCCCGAAAUCAAAUAGUCACGCACACAUACAAAGCACUUCAUAAUGCGGCGAACUUACCUUAUUUGCUCUAGCGAGCAUACUUCGCCAUUCUAGAGAACUUACUAAUCAUAUAGAUAGCCAAGCGAACCAAACCUGGCUAGCUCUAAUAGCAACCAAUGUAACACCCUAAACUUAGCCAAGUAGGUUCGACAUGAAUUCAACGUACCACAUUAGCCACCGAAGUGACUUUUCGUUAACUCUCAAUCUAUCCUCCAACACACCACUUAAUUACAGUAUGAAGUAUGCAGUCACAUCUCGAAAAUCGAGUUAGCAGAAUUUAUGAAACCAAAAGUGGUCACAUAUUGAUUCUUGAAUUAAGAUUGUGAAAAAUUGCCAUGUGAGUUAAUAUACUUCAAUGGUUAAAUGUGGUACUUAUGUGUGAUGUCGAAACCAUUUUUAAAUUUGAAAAACGGGGAUCGACUUAAAAAGGAAAAUGAGAGUCGCCACUGAUCCUUUAUUGAGGUGUGAUCGGCUCACCUUGAAAAUGAUUUUGGUCUGCGAAAUUUUGAGAAAAUAGGUUCGGGAGUCGAUUACGCACGAGGAAGGGUUAGCACCCUCGUAACUCCCAAAAUUGGUACCGAAUUGAUUGUUUAAUGUCUUAAUGCCGAAACUUUGAAAAGAUUUUAAAAUACGAUCCUUUGGUGGGAAAACUUGAAUAAAUUAAAGUGAUUGAUAAGACACACUUAUUCCGAAGAAAUAAAUUGUCACACUAAGUAAGUUAGAGUGCAACAUGUCAAAUCCUCGAAAUUAAGUUUAUCCUUUGACUUUUAAAACCUAUGCAUUUUAAUAAGGAUAUCUGAUUAUUUGGGUCAAAUGAGAAAAUCAAAACCCAGUAAGUUAGGGUUCGAUUUUACAAAAUCCCUAAAUAUCGAAUAUUGCAUUUAUUUUCAUUUGUUAGAAAAAUCCUCGUCUCGAGAAAAUAACAUAUUAUAUCCAAUGCGUUAGGACACGAUGUAUUGAAUUCUCGAGAAUGAGCUUUUUAUUUUUGUUUCAAUUAAAAAGGAUACUCGAUUUCUUAGAUUCAAAGAGGAAGAUUGGAAUCCAGUAAGUUAGGACACAAUCUUUUCGAGGAUCCCAAACUCUGAGUGUCACGUUAUUUUCGAAAAGCUUUUUGAAUAAAGAUGCUUUGGGUAUUUAAAUGAUAUGAAACAUAACCUUUUAAGGGAAUGGAAUGCAAUAUAAGGAUAAUGUACAACGCGAAAGGAUAACUCAUAAUCCUAAAAUACAUGCUAAAGAACUCGAAUAAUCUAUCAACACAAACGAGAUAAUAUAAAGUACAUAACAUUCAUAAUCACAUAUUACAUGUACAUAUUAACACCAACAAUUAAAAGUUAAAGAUAUAAAAAUCUAUCACAAACACAACGUAACUAAUUUGAAGAUUUGAAAUGUUUUUAAAAAUAGAACUCAAGAUAAAUACCGCAUAAAAUAGUAGCAUCUAAAUGAAUUUUAAAGUAAAUAUUAUAUAAGAAGUAAAUUAAAAUACAUAUCAAUUUUAAAUAAAUAAUGCAUAUGAAAUGAAGAUUUUAAUAACAAUAUGAAUGAUAAUACACACAUAACAAUAUAUAAACGGUAGAAUCAAACAAAAUAUAUAAAAUAGGGUUUUUAAAAGAAAAUAAUUAUAUAUAUAUAUAGGAAUAAGUAAAAAUAUAUAAUAAUAUAUACAAAAGUUGAAAGUAACCAAAAUAAAUUAAAAUAGGGUCCUUAAAAAAUAUAUAAAUUACAUGUAGGUAUAGAUAAAUGAAAAGCUAUAAUAAUGUAUUGUAUACUCGUAUAUGUUUUAAUAAAAUGAUUUAAUGUAAAUUGUACAUAGAUAUAAAACAAUGUUGUACAAAAAUGUUAAAAAACUUAAAAUAAUAUUACAUGAUAACAUAAAAUAAUGUAUAUACGUAAGUAAUAGCAAUUAAACAUAUACACUAGUAUAAUACUAAUAUAAAUAAUAAUACUAGUAGUAAUAACGAUGAUAAUAAUAAUAAUAAUAAUAAUAAUAAUAAUAAUAAUAAUAAUAAUAAUAAAACAAAAGGGACUAAACUGCAGACAAAAAUAAAUUAACGGGCCACAAAUGUAAUUUAAAAGAACCAGAGGGUCAAAUUGCAAUUCGCGAAUUAUGGGGGGAGCCAAAUGGGAAAUAUCCCACUUCCCCAAAACGCAAUGCAGUGAUAUAGACCAAAAUGUGACAAUAUCAAAAUGCAGGGUAAAAAUAAAAAAAUAAAAGGACCGAUUUAAAAAAUCCUGCAAGAGAAGAAGGACCUUUUGCGCAAAUCUCCCUCCCCUGCCAGAACACGCGAAUCUCGCCGCAUCCGGGUCGGGUCAUCGGGUCAAAUGUUAAUACGACACCGUUUUGGAGCCACUGAAUCUAGCCCCAAACGGUGUUGUUUUGAACACUAUUAAAGGCCUCUGAAAAACCCUAAAAGGAACUUAAGAAACAGGAGACCUCUCCUUCUGCUCCCAGCCACCUCACAGGCCCGAAAUCUCGCUACUAUCAGCUCCGAUUUGGAACGGAGCAAGCAGCGAUUCCGACGGCGUGCUCACAGGUAAGAUCCCUCUUUUCUUUUUUAUUUCGACCUAUUUAUGAACGAAGUAGUAAAAAACAAAGAAAAGUAAAGAGAAAAAAAAGAAAUUCAAAAGCCACCUUACGAAACUCUGCUCUUUUUUUUACUUGAAUAUUUUUUUUUGCUUCCUUUGUAUCACUUCUCUGUAUGCGUAAAAAAGGGGAAAAGAGAGCCCCCUUUCAGUACAUCUUUGGGUUUUUUUAUAACUUGAAAACAAAAAGAAAAGAAAACGAAUCCAAAUUCUUUUUUUUUUGUUUUUCUUUUUCUCUGCCUCUCUUUUUUUUGUUUGUGUGUUCCAUUUUGCUGUCGAUUUGUUGUUUGCUGUAGGUACGAAGGAGUCCAGCUGGAGUGUACGGAGGCGCGUGUGAGGAGCGACACGAAGGUGUGGUGGCGCACGCACGAGAGGGGAGCGUGCUGGCUGUACAGCCAUGCGGCGCCUAAGGUUUUCCAGGGUUUCCUGCUUCUGAUUUUGGGCUGCGUUGUGCCUUGGGCACGGGUUAGAUGGGGUAUUUGGGCUAGGGUCUGUUGGGUCUAGUAUUUUCCGGGUUUUGGUAUUUAGAAAUUAAGCCUAUUGUAUUGGGUUAGGUGUUAUUAGGCUGCUUUUUAAUUAUUUCUUUGGACUAUUAUUUUAUUUUAUUUAGUUUAUAUAUGUGAUGUAUAUAGGCCGGGCAUAAAUUGGGCAUUACAUGUGAGAGAUCUUGUGUCCAACUCUCUUUCCUUAAGAUGUUUUUUUUCCCAAACCCUACCUUCAAACAUUUGGUUUAUAUAUUAUUUAGACAUGUAGCAAAGGAGGCAUAAUAUCAUAUAGACAUGUAGGCUCCCAUAUGCAGCUCCGCCUUUAGGCCUCCACGAGCGGACACCUAGCAUGGUAGGCAUAAUAUCAUUUAGACAUGUAUAUAUUACCUAGCAUAAGGUAAUACUUCAUUUUUAAUAAACAAAUAACUUUUUCUUUUUCGAAAACUUGAGUUGAAAAUUAAGAUAAAAAAAUAUUGGAUAAUAUUAUUCACUACAUUAUCAGUUGAAUAAAAGGAUUUCACUGCUGACAUGUAUUUUUUUUAAUUUUAUUUUUAGUAUACGAAAAAUAUUCAAUUUUCACUUGUGAAAUUCUUUUAAUCCAAUAUCACAUAAAAUAAUAAUCCAAAAUUACUAAUACAUAUAUUUUUUUUUACUUCAGUUUCCAAAUAUUCAUUAUCUAUAAAAUGAAUCCAAUAUUAAGAAAAUAAUAAAUUCCGAAACAAUUUCUCGACAAUUUUGUCAAAACCAAGAACCUGAAAUGUUAGAACUACAUUAAUUCCAAAAGAAACCUGUUGGAGGCAAAAUCAGAAGGGCCUGUAUGAAAU
rnacentral:lncRNA from 1 species